GACGAACCGUCCAAACGUUAUUCGGAAUCACUGGGCUUAAAGGGUGCGUAGGCGGCGCGGAAAGUUGGGUGUGAAAUCCCUCGGCUUAACCGAGGAACUGCGCCCAAAACUACCGUGCUUGAGGGAGAUAGAGGUGAGCGGAACUUAGGGUGGAGCGGUGAAAUGCGUUGAUAUCCUAAGGAACACCGGUGGCGAAAGCGGCUCACUGGAUCUCUUCUGACGCUGAUGCACGAAAGCUAGGGUAGCGAACGGG
rnacentral:rRNA from 1 species